UCGGCGCGGCCCCUAUCCGACGGUGCUGCCUUGUGCUCUUCGCACUCGGUAGAGCGGCUACAGGCCUGAACGCUGCUGCGAAAAAGCUGCGUAAAAUACACUAUAAACGCUUGGACCGUUGGGGUAUGUUCUCAGUUCAUCGCGAAUCUUCUCCGUCUGAGUUCCCCGCUAACGCCCAACAAGCCUGUCCACCCGUCGCGUCGUAACUGCCAGCCAGGAUGGAGCGCGAAGAGACAAAGACCACGAUCAGAGUGGAGACUGAGGAUUACGUCUAUCAGCAACAGGAGACGACCGUGCGGAUAACCACCUCCGAUGACGACUAGUGCUGCCUUCUAGUGCGUGUACGUGUACGUGUACGACUAAAUCAAAAGUACAUACAUAGACAUGGAACCCCUUACUCUUGGUGUAUGUCAUAGGUUGGAUUUACUUCACGGUCCUGCACAAUACUACGCGAUAUGAUCACAGGGGUAAUAUACAGGUUCACGACGGGACCAUGAUCUCACAUUCCCGUUUCUCGGUAUUCAAACGUGUCUUAGCGAUCCAUCCAUUUUUUGUAUCUCCACCCUCACGAAUCUGUACGUAUCUUUGUCUGGCUGUCCAUUAGCCAAUCAUGUCAGAAUGAUAAUACAAAUCCGUUGAUCCCCGAA